AGUGAACGCUGGCGGUAGGCCUAACACAUGCAAGUCGAACGGCAGCACAGUAAGAGCUUGCUCUUACGGGUGGCGAGUGGCGGACGGGUGAGGAAUACAUCGGAAUCUACUUUUUCGUGGGGGAUAACGUAGGGAAACUUACGCUAAUACCGCAUACGACCUACGGGUGAAAGCAGGGGAUCUUCGGACCUUUCGCGAUUGAAUGAGCCGAUGUCGGAUUAGCUAGUUGGCUGGGUAAAGGCCCACCAAGGCGACGAUCCGUAGCUGGUCUGAGAGGAUGAUCAGCCACACUGGAACUGAGACACGGUCCAGACUCCUACGGGAGGCAGCAGUGGGGAAUAUUGGACAAUGGGCGAAAGCCUGAUCCAGCCAUACCGCGUGGGUGAAGAAGGCCUUCGGGUUGUAAAGCCCUUUUGUUGGGAAAGAAAAGCAGCAGGUUAAUACCCCGCUGUUCUGACGGUACCCAAAGAAUAAGCACCGGCUAACUUCGUG
rnacentral:rRNA from 1 species